UGGAGAAUAUUGCACAAUGGGCGCAAGCCUGAUGCAGCCAUGCCGCGUGUAUGAAGAAGGCCUUCGGGUUGUAAAGUACUUUCAGCGGGGAGGAAGGCGAUAAGGUUAAUAACCUUGUCGAUUGACGUUACCCGCAGAAGAAGCACCGGCUAACUCCGUGCCAGCAGCCGCGGUAAUACGGAGGGUGCAAGCGUUAAUCGGAAUUACUGGGCGUAAAGCGCACGCAGGCGGUCUGUCAAGUCGGAUGUGAAAUCCCCGGGCUCAACCUGGGAACUGCAUUCGAAACUGGCAGGCUAGAGUCUUGUAGAGGGGGGUAGAAUUCCAGGUGUAGCGGUGAAAUGCGUAGAGAUCAGGAGGAAUACCGGUGGCGAAGGCGGCCCCCUGGACAAAGACUGACGCUCAGGUGCGAAAGCGUGGGGAGCAAACA
rnacentral:rRNA from 1 species